AAAAAAGGAAAAAGAAAAGCACAGUAUGAUGUUGAGAGAAAUGGUGUUUAGUGUGGUUAGAUUGUUAGAUCAGAAAGGGCAAUGGAAAGUGUUAUUAGAGAGAUGUAGAAUUGUAUGUAUGAUUCAUUCACCAACCUUUUUUCUGGUAUCAUAGUAUGGAGUUGGAGCUUUGGGUUUGUGGGUUGGGGAGAAGCAAUAGUUUGGCUUAAGCAAGGUACCACUACAGAAGGCCAUGACUAUUGAGAACAGUGAGAGAGAGAAAGAGAAGGGAAUCGUAAAAGGUGUUGGAAGUAGGAAGAAAACUGAGAGCAGAUUCUGGACCAAAGCUUUCUUAGCGGUGGUGUUGCAUUAAACAGAAUUGUUGAAGUAGCUUUUAUAGGGACAAUGCAAGGAAGCACCUUUGGAGGCAAUGCAAGGAAGAAGGCUUGGUGAAUGUUUGCCAAGGUGAAGUUUUGUAGAUGAAAAAAAAGAAAAGAAGCAUAGGAACAAAGACGGUCAGAGGUACCACUGUAUUAUAUAGUGUAAACUUAAUACAUUUGUAUUAUAAUUAUAGAUGAUGAAAUGUUGUUAACUUUUUUUUUAAGUAGUUAUUUCAAAAAUUCAUAUGGAGGAUUUGNCUAUAGUGUAAAUUAUAUAUGUCUUAAUUUUGAAUUUUUUAUUAUUAUAAAAUAAUUCACNGUUUUCAGAAUUUUAAAAUGUAAUUAAUGUUUUCACUCUCUAUAAUAUAUCUUUAUUUCAUGUAUGUUAGUGGUGUAGGCACAAAGAAUCAAUCACUAGUACAAAAAUCAUAUUUUAUGACGUACAAAAACGAACUAUGACGUUUGUACGUUAGAAUAGGUCUACAUAUUUUAUGACGUAACAAAAAUUUAGGUUAUCUAAACAUAUUAUGACAGUUUUUGUACAUAUUUUAUGACGUAACAAAAAUUUAGGUUAUCUAAACAUAUUAUGAUAGUUUUUGUACAUAUUUUAUGACGUAACAAAAAUUUAAGUUAUCUGAACAUAUUAUGACAGUUUUUGUACACAUAUUAUAACGUACAAAACUAUGUACGUCAUAGUUCGUUUUUGUACGUCAUAAAAUAUGAUUUUUGUACNUCAUACUUCANGAAGGAUGAAACACCUCCACNGAAUACUUCACGAAGGAUGAAACACCUCCUCCGAAUACUUCACGAAGGAUGAUCCUCUUCCACACACCUCCUUAGACGCACCAAGGAUGAACCAGUUAUUCCUCCGU
rnacentral:lncRNA from 1 species